AGAGUUUGAUCCUGGCUCAGAUUGAACGCUGGCGCAUGCUUUACACAUGCAAGUCGAGCGGCAGCGCGGGGGCAACCCUGGCGGCGAGCGGCGAACGGGUGAGUAAUGCAUCGGAACGUGUCCCGUAGUGGGGGAUAACCCGGCGAAAGCCGGACUAAUACCGCAUAUGCUCUACGGAGGAAAGCGGGGGAUUCGCAAGAACCUCGCGCUAUGGGAGCGGCCGAUGUCCGAUUAGCUUGUUGGUGGGGUAAUGGCUUACCAAGGCGACGAUCGGUAGCUGGUCUGAGAGGAUGAUCAGCCACACUGGGACUGAGACACGGCCCAGACUCCUACGGGAGGCAGCAGUGGGGAAUUUUGGACAAUGGGGGCAACCCUGAUCCAGCCAUGCCGCGUGCGGGAAGAAGGCCUUCGGGUUGUAAACCGCUUUUGUCCGGAAAGAAAAGGCACCCCCUAAUACGGGGUGUUCUUGACGGUACCGGAAGAAUAAGCACCGGCUAACUACGUGCCAGCAGCCGCGGUAAUACGUAGGGUGCGAGCGUUAAUCGGAAUUACUGGGCGUAAAGCGUGCGCAGGCGGUCCGCAAAGUCUGAUGUGAAAGCCCCGGUCUCAACCUGGGAACU
rnacentral:rRNA from 1 species